UCCUGUGUUUGCGAUUAUCGUACAGGUGUAAUUCCCGGAGUCAGUGCGAUGAGAGUCUGUUAUCUGUAGACUGAGUGGCAUUCCGCGCUCCAAGAAGGAAAUUCUAGAAUCUGUGAAAUUUGUAAAUAUUGAAGGAAGUGUCGGGUUUAUGGAAUUAUUAUUUAUAAAUGAAUGAAGCAGAAUGUGAGUGUGAUUUUCUUUUCUCCAGACGAUUUGCUUAAUAUCUUCUGGUUUUAUUCCCUGUGUGCACCUCAUGGUCACCG